AUGCACACCCUGAUGAACAGCUCGAUGAAGGUCACCGAUGUCAACAUGGAAACAGAGGUGCCCGAGCUUCUCCUUCCACCAAAUCACGUCGAUUCCAACGGACGCCUUUUGCCAAAGCACACCCCGAUGAAGAUCACCGAUGUGGAUAUGAAAAUAGAGGCGCUAACAAAUUACAUCAACCUCAGACGAGCAGGAGGAGAGGGGGGCGGUAUGAAGAACAUGGGGAACAAGAAGACCAAGAAGAAGAUUUUCCGUGUGCCGCAGGACGAGCUGGAUGAGAUUCUUUCGUACCAAGCGGCGCCGGCGCCCGCUUGGCAGAGUGCGGCUAAACGCUAUCCCUGGGUCGUCGCUGAGAUGGAGAAGAUCAAGGUGCGCUUUCUCGCCGGGCAGGAGAGGAUGAGGCGGCAGUACGAGGCCCUGGGCUACGCCACGUUUGAAGCGUAG
rnacentral:rRNA from 1 species